rnacentral:lncRNA from 1 species
CACAAAUAGCAUGAAAAUCACACACAACCAAGAGUCAUAUAUGACAAGUGAUUAGGGUAAAUAUCUAACCCUAAGUCGACAUGUGAAAAUGUCAUACAAGUCAAUGUCAAUGCAACAUAAAUUAAGACUGUAAUGAUAUAUUUGAGGAUUUCUAAAUGUAACUAGCAUAAUUGUGGUAUGAUUUUCACAUACGAAAUGGCAUUCAAUCACGAUGGACCAU